rnacentral:rRNA from 1 species
GACGAACGCUGGCGGCGCGCUUAACACAUGCAAGUCGAACGGAAAGGCCUGCUUUCCCUUGUGGAUUGCGGGUACUCGAGUGGCGAACGGGUGAGUAACACGUGAGUGAUCUGCCCCCAACUUGGGUAUAAGCCUGGGAAACUGGGUCUAAUUCCCGAUAGGACUGCAGGGUGGUGCCUGUGGUGGAAAACGAUUUUCUAGUGUUUGGGGAUGAGCUCGCGGCCUAUCAGCUUGUUGGUGGGGUAAUGGCCUACCAAGGCGGCGACGGGUAGCCGGCCUGAGAGGGUGGACGGCCACAUUGGGACUGGGAUACGGCCCAGACUCCUACGGGAGGCAGCAGUGGGGAAUAAUGGACAAUGGGCGGAAGCCUGAUGCAGCGACGCCGCGUGGGGGAUGACGGGCUUGGGGUGGUAAACUCCUUUCGACCGAGAGGAAGCCACCUGGUUGGAAGGGUGGUGACGGUAGUGGUAGAAGAAGCACCGGCUAACUACGUG